rnacentral:rRNA from 1 species
AGAGAGAGACAUGCGCGCAUAUCAAUAAGCGGAGGAAAAGAAACUAACAAGGAUUCCCUUAGUAACGGCGAGUGAAGCGGGAAGAGCUCAAAUUUGAAAUCUUCAAGGUUCUACCUUGACGAAUUGUAGUUUAUAGAAGUGUUUUCUGUUAGUGGAGUGGCAAAAGUUCUUUGGAAUAGGACAUCAUAGAGGGUGAGAAUCCCGUAUUUGGUCAUUCCUCCUAGCGUUGUGAUACACUUUCAACGAGUCGGAUUGUUUGGGAAUGCAGUCCAAAAUGGGUGGUAAAUUUCAUCUAAAGCUAAAUAUUGGCGAGAGACCGAUAGCGAACAAGUACCGUGAGGGAAAGAUGAAAAGAACUUUGAAAAGAGAGUUAAACAGUACGUGAAAUUGUCAAAAGGGAAGCGUUUGACACCAGUGUUGUUUCCUCGAAAAUCAAUUAAAAAUGGUGGGAUGUUGUGUUGUAUUGACUUUAUCAGCUUUCUGCACUUUUUUCCUAUCUUUUUUAAUGCACUUUUCGUUUAACAAGUCAACAUCAAUUUCUUUUGUUGUAAAAGGGUCAUUGGAAGGUGGCUUUCUUUUCGGAGAAAGUGUUUAUAGCCUUGUACCUCUGCAAUCGGGGAGAUUGAGGUCUGCAGCGUAGAUCCUUCGGGGUUAGAUACAUUUGUGCUAAGUUAUAGCUUUUCAUAGACAACUUGUUGACUAUGUUUAGUCUUGUAGCUUACUCGCUUAUGCUAUUUUACCUACGCUUAGGAUGUUGAUCUGUAGUGCGUGCGC